UACAGAGGGGGCGAGCGUUGUUCGGAAUCACUGGGCGUAAAGCGCACGUAGGCGGAUGUGUCAGUCAGGGGUGAAAUCCCGGAGCUCAACUUCGGAACUGCCUCUGAUACAGCACGUCUUGAGUUCGAGAGAGGUGGGUGGAAUUCCUAGUGUAGAGGUGAAAUUCGUAGAUAUUAGGAAGAACACCGGUGGCGAAGGCGGCCCACUGGCUCGAUACUGACGCUGAGGUGCGAAAGCGUGGGGAGCAAACAGG
rnacentral:rRNA from 1 species